UACGGAGGAUGCGAGCGUUAUCCGGAUUUAUUGGGUUUAAAGGGUGCGUAGGCGGAUUUGUAAGUCAGCGGUAAAAAUGCGGUGCUCAACGCCGUAUCGCCGUUGAAACUGCAGGUCUUGAGUGAGCGAGAAGUAUGCGGAAUGCGUGGUGUAGCGGUGAAAUGCAUAGAUAUCACGCAGAACCCCGAUUGCGAAGGCAGCAUACCGGCGCCCUACUGACGCUGAGGCACGAAAGUGCGGGUAUCGAACAGG
rnacentral:rRNA from 1 species